rnacentral:rRNA from 1 species
UAAGUUAAUAAGGGCGCACGGUGGAUGCCUUGGCACUAGGAGCCGACGAAGGACGUGACAAACGACGAUAUGCCUUGGGUAGCUGUAAGUAAGCGAUGAUCCAGGGAUUUCCGAAUGGGGGAACCCAACAGGUAAUACCUGUUACCUACAUCUGUUAAGGAUGUGAGGAGGAAGACGCAGUGAACUGAAACAUCUAAGUAGCUGCAGGAAGAGAAAGCAAAAGCGAUUGCCUUAGUAGCGGCGAGCGAAACGGCAGAAGGGCAAACCGAGGAGUUUACUCUUCGGGGUUGUAGGACUGCAAUGUGGACUCAAAGAUUAUAGAAGAAUGAUUUGGGAAGAUCAGCCAAAGAGAGUAAUAGCCUCGUAUUUAAAAUAGUCUUUGUACUUAGCAGUAUCCUGAGUACGGCGGGACACGUGAAAUCCCGUCGGAAUCUGGGAGGACCAUCUCCCAACCCUAAAUACUCCCUAGUGACCGAUAGUGUACCAGUACCGUGAGGGAAAGGUGAAAAGCACCCCGGGAGGGGAGUGAAAUAGAACCUGAAACCGUGUGCCUACAACAAGUUCGAGCCCGUUAAUGGGUGAGAGCGUGCCUUUUUGUAGAAUGAACCGGCGAGUUACGUUAUGAUGCGAGGUUAAGUUGAAGAGACGGAGCCGUAGGGAAACCGAGUCUGAAUAGGGCGCCUUAGUAUCAUGACGUAGACCCGAAACCAUGUGACCUACCCAUGAGCAGGUUGAAGGUGCGGUAAGACGCACUGGAGGACCGAACCAGGGCACGUUGAAAAGUGCUUGGAUGACUUGUGGGUAGCGGAGAAAUUCCAAACGAACUUGGAGAUAGCUGGUUCUCUCCGAAAUAGCUUUAGGGCUAGCGUCGACAUUAGAGAUUCUUGGAGGUAGAGCACUGUUUGGGUGAGGGGUCCAUCCCGGAUUACCAAUCUCAGAUAAACUCCGAAUGCCAAUGAAUUAUGGUCGGCAGUCAGACUGCGAGUGCUAAGAUCCGUAGUCGAAAGGGAAACAGCCCAGACCACCAGCUAAGGUCCCAAAAUAAUUGUUAAGUGGAAAAGGAUGUGGGGUUGCACAGACAACUAGGAUGUUAGCUUAGAAGCAGCUAUUCAUUCAAAGAGUGCGUAAUAGCUCACUAGUCGAGUGACCCUGCGCCGAAAAUGUACCGGGGCUAAAACAAUUUACCGAAGCUGUGGAUACCUUUAUAGGUAUGGUAGGAGAGCGUUCUAUGUGUGAUGAAGGUAUACCGUGAGGAGUGCUGGAACGCAUAGAAGUGAGAAUGCCGGUAUGAGUAGCGAAAGACAGGUGAGAAUCCUGUCCACCGUAAGACUAAGGUUUCCAGGGGAAGGCUCGUCCGCCCUGGGUUAGUCGGGACCUAAGGAGAGACCGAAAGGUGUAUCCGAUGGACAACAGGUUGAUAUUCCUGUACUAGAGUAUGUAGUGAUGGAGGGACGCAGUAGGCUAACUAAAGCAGACGAUUGGAAGAGUCUGUCUAAGCAGUGAGGUGUGAAUUGAGUCAAAUGCUUAAUUCUAUAACAUUGAGCUGUGAUGGGGAGCGAAGUUUAGUAGCGAAGUUAGUGACGUCACACUGCCAAGAAAAGCUUCUAGCGUUUAAACAUACUCUACCCGUACCGCAAACCGACACAGGUAGUCGAGGCGAGUAGCCUCAGGUGAGCGAGAGAACUCUCGUUAAGGAACUCGGCAAAAUGACCCCGUAACUUCGGGAGAAGGGGUGCUGACUUAAAGUCAGCCGCAGUGAAUAGGCCCAAGCAACUGUUUAUCAAAAAACACAGCUCUCUGCUAAAUCGUAAGAUGAUGUAUAGGGGGUGACGCCUGCCCGGUGCUGGAAGGUUAAGAGGAGUGCUUAGCGUAAGCGAAGGUAUGAAUUGAAGCCCCAGUAAACGGCGGCCGUAACUAUAACGGUCCUAAGGUAGCGAAAUUCCUUGUCGGGUAAGUUCCGACCCGCACGAAAGGCGUAAUGAUUUGGGCACUGUCUCAACGAGAGACUCGGUGAAAUUUUAGUACCUGUGAAGAUGCAGGUUACCCGCGACAGGACGGAAAGACCCCAUGGAGCUUUACUGCAGUUUGAUAUUGAGUGUCUGUACCACAUGUACAGGAUAGGUAGGAGUCUAAGAGAUCGGGACGCCAGUUUCGAAGGAGACGCUGUUGGGAUACUACCCUUGUGUUAUGGCCACUCUAACCCAGAUAGGUGAUCCCUAUCGGAGACAGUGUCUGACGGGCAGUUUGACUGGGGCGGUCGCCUCCUAAAAGGUAACGGAGGCGCCCAAAGGUUCCCUCAGAAUGGUUGGAAAUCAUUCGCAGAGUGUAAAGGUAUAAGGGAGCUUGACUGCGAGAGCUACAACUCGAGCAGGGACGAAAGUCGGGCUUAGUGAUCCGGUGGUUCCGUAUGGAAGGGCCAUCGCUCAACGGAUAAAAGCUACCCUGGGGAUAACAGGCUUAUCUCCCCCAAGAGUUCACAUCGACGGGGAGGUUUGGCACCUCGAUGUCGGCUCGUCGCAUCCUGGGGCUGUAGUCGGUCCCAAGGGUUGGGCUGUUCGCCCAUUAAAGCGGCACGCGAGCUGGGUUCAGAACGUCGUGAGACAGUUCGGUCCCUAUCCGUCGCGGGCGUAGGAAAUUUGAGAGGAUCUGCUCCUAGUACGAGAGGACCAGAGUGGACUUACCGCUGGUGUACCAGUUGUCUUGCCAAAGGCAUCGCUGGGUAGCUAUGUAGGGAAGGGAUAAACGCUGAAAGCAUCUAAGUGUGAAACCCACCUCAAGAUGAGAUUUCCCAUGAUUAUAUAUCAGUAAGAGCCCUGAGAGAUGAUCAGGUAGAUAGGUUAGAAGUGGAAGUGUGGCGACACAUGUAGCGGACUAAUACUAAUAGCUCGAGGACUUAUCCA